rnacentral:rRNA from 1 species
AGAUGGCGACCGGCGCACGGGUGAGUAACACGUAUCCAACCUGCCGAUAACUCGGGGAUAGCCUUUCGAAAGAAAGAUUAAUACCCGAUGGCAUAAUAGAACCGCAUGGUUUGAUUAUUAAAGAAUUUCGGUUAUCGAUGGGGAUGCGUUCCAUUAGGCAGUUGGUGGGGUAAUGGCCCACCAAGACUACGAUGGAUAGGGGUUCUGAGAGGAAGGUCCCCCACAUUGGAACUGAGACACGGUCCAAACUCCUACGGGAGGCAGCAUG